rnacentral:rRNA from 1 species
GACGAACGCUUGCGGCGUGCUUAACACAUGCAAGUCGAACGGAAAGGCCCUGCUUUUGUGGGGUGCUCGAGUGGCGAACGGGUGAGUAACACGUGAGUAACCUGCCCUUGACUUUGGGAUAACUUCUGGAAACUGGGGCUAAUACCGGAUAGGAGCUCCUGCUGCAUGGUGGGGGUUGGAAAGUUUCGGCGGUUGGGGAUGGACUCGCGGCUUAUCAGCUUGUUGGUGGGGUAGUGGCUUACCAAGGCUUUGACGGGUAGCCGGCCUGAGAGGGUGACCGGCCACAUUGGGACUGAGAUACGGCCCAGACUCCUACGGGAGGCAGCAGUGGGGAAUAUUGCACAAUGGGCGGAAGCCUGAUGCAGCAACGCCGCGUGCGGGAUGACGGCCUUCGGGUUGUAAACCGCUUUCGCCUGUGACGAAGCGUGAGUGACGGUAAUGGGUAAAGAAGCACCGGCUAACUACGUGCCAGCAGCCGCGGUGAUACGUAGGGUGCGAGCGUUGUCCGGAUUUAUUGGGCGUAAAGGGCUCGUAGGUGGUUGAUCGCGUCGGAAGUGUAAUCUUGGGGCUUAACCCUGAGCGUGCUUUCGAUACGGGUUGACUUGAGGAAGGUAGGGGAGAAUGGAAUUCCUGGUGGAGCGGUGGAAUGCGCAGAUAUCAGGAGGAACACCAGUGGCGAAGGCGGUUCUCUGGGCCUUUCCUGACGCUGAGGAGCGAAAGCGUGGGGAGCGAACAGGCUUAGAUACCCUGGUAGUCCACGCUGUAAACGGUGGGUACUAGGUGUGGGGUCCAUUCCACGGGUUCCGUGCCGUAGCUAACGCUUUAAGUACCCCGCCUGGGGAGUACGGCCGCAAGGCUAAAACUCAAAGGAAUUGACGGGGCCCCGCACAAGCGGCGGAGCAUGCGGAUUAAUUCGAUGCAACGCGUAGAACCUUACCUGGGUUUGACAUGGAUCGGGAGUGCUCAGAGAUGGGUGUGCCUCUUUUGGGGUCGGUUCACAGGUGGUGCAUGCCUGUCGUCAGCUCGUGUCGUGAGAUGUUGGGUUAAGUCCCGCAACGAGCGCAACCCUUGUUCACUGUUGCCAGCACGUUAUGGUGGGGACUCAGUGGAGACCGCCGGGGUCAACUCGGAGGAAGGUGGGGAUGACGUCAAGUCCUCAUGCCCCUUAUGUCCAGGGCUUCACGCAUGCUACAAUGGCUGGUACAGAGAGUGGCGAGCCUGUGAGGGUGAGCGAAUCUCGGAAAGCCGGUCUCAGUUCGGAUUGGGGUCUGCAACUCGACCUCAUGAAGUCGGAGUCGCUAGUAAUCGCAGAUCAGCAACGCUGCGGUGAAUACGUUCCCGGG